rnacentral:rRNA from 1 species
GGACCUGACUGCUAUCGGAUUGAUACUAAGCCAUGCGAGUCAUUGUAGCAAUACAAGGCAUACGGCUCAGUAACGCGUAGUCAACCUAACCUAUGGACGGGAAUAACCUCGGGAAACUGAGAAUAAUGCCCGAUAGAACAUUAUGCCUGGAAUGGUUUAUGUUCCAAAUGAUUUAUCGCCGUAGGAUGGGACUGCGGCCUAUCAGUUUGUUGGUGAGGUAAUGGCCCACCAAGACUAUUACAGGUACGGGCUCUGAGAGGAGUAGCCCGGAGAUGGGUACUGAGACACGGACCCAGGCCCUAUGGGGCGCAGCAGGCGAGAAAACUUUGCAAUGUGCGAAAGCACGACGAAGGUUAAUCCGAGUGGUUUCUGCUAAAGAAACCUUUUGUCGAGUCCUAGAAACGACUGAUGAAUAAGGGGUGGGCGAAGUUCUGGUGUCG